AUUGAACGCUGGCGGCAGGCCUAACACAUGCAAGUCGAGCGAGCGGCGGACGGGUGAGGAAUGGUUGGGAAACUGACUGAUGGAGGGGGAUAACUACUGGAAAAGGUAGCAAAUACCGCAUACCAUCAGAUGUGCCCAGAUAGGAUUAGAUGGUAGGGGGGGUAAUGGCUCACCUAGGCGACGGACCCUAGCUGGGCUGCGAGGAUGACCAGCCACACUGGAACUGAGCCACGGGCCAGACGCCUACGGUAGGCAGCAGUGGGGAAUAUUGCACAAGGGGCGCAAGCCUGAUGCAGCCAUGCCGCGUGUGUGAAGAAGGCCUUCGGGUUGUAAAGCACUUUCAGCGGGGAGGCGUUACCCGCAGAAGAAGCACCGGCUAACUCCGUGCCAGCAGCCGCGGUAAUAC
rnacentral:rRNA from 1 species